GAAGAAAAAGCCGAUUUCAAAGAUGGUGGAAAAAUCUAAAGUACCUUCUUUGUUUGAGAAACAAAAGUUAGUAAUUUCUUAUUAGAUCAAAAAUCUAAGGUAUCGUUUGGUUCGGUAAUAAGCAAAAAGUGGGUAUUCCAGGGAUAGGUAUAAAUUGAGGUAUAAGCGGAGAUUAGAUCAAUUUUUCGUUUGGAUGAAAAUUGGGUUAUUCCUGGGAAUAAAAAAAAUAACGUUUGGUUAGGUAAGAUGGAAUAAGAUUGAAAGUGGAUAGUUAUAAAUAAAAAUUAAUAAUAUUAUCACUUUUUUAUUUAUAUUAGAAUUUAAAUUUUUAUAUUUUAUAUUUAUAUUUUAAAAUUUAAAAUUUUAACUUUUAAAUUUGAAAUUUGAAAUUAAAAUUUAAAAUUUAAAAUCUCAAAG
rnacentral:lncRNA from 1 species